CCUUCUCAAACACAGUUCCGAUUGCUUUGUCUUCUUCAUUUUCCAUUUUCAUUUCUCCAAGCUUCUCCAUUCCGAUCUUAGCUGACUGUCUCCGUCCGUCUCUUGUGAUUUUCGAUUUCGGAGUGCCUCAUUUACUUCACUUUGACAAUUGUUGUUCCUAGUUAUAUGUUCAUAUGGUCUCACUUAGCCAUCAUUGGUGAUUACUCUCACCCUCCGAGUUAUAUAAUUAGCUUCAUUUACAUGAGUUGAGGGGAGGCUGAGUGAGUUACAAGGGGUGCCCCUUGCUCCUCGGAUGUUUCACAUUCAUCUGUGAAACGUAAACUUGAAGUAGCUACUUCUUCAUCAUCUAAUCUUAAGAGGGCCAAGAAAAAAAUCAAAGUCUGAUCUCCUCAAUUAUUGCUUUCUUUUUUCAAUUUUUAUUAUGAUUUUUUUUCCUUUUAAUGAAAGCCAGUCCAAGGGUGAAAUAAUGCCCCAAAUUUUGAAGUUUCUAAACAAAGGGAAGUUGAUUUGAAUGAGAAGCUUGCUGAAGAUGUUAGCAAGCCAGGUGAUGAUGUUAGAGUGGCAGCGGAAGAUGAGGCAACCAAGAAAAUUCACUAUGGUUAUGCUUAUGAUAAUGAAGAUCCAGGGAGGCCUACAAAGAAGAACUAUAGGAAGAACAAGGACAAUGAGAAGAUUGCUAAUUAGUUUUACUUUUGAAGCUGGUUUUUUUUUGGACAAAUUAAUCAUAGUUGUAUAAUUUCUUUCAAUUGGUUGUUUGAAUUGAUUAUCAUUUUUAAGUAAUAUUUUUUUCUAUCAUUUUAGGACGUUUUAGUUUUUUUUAAUGUUCAACAGUGUAAUUGGUUAUAGUUAAUGAUAUAUUAUUUCCAUACACUUAGUAACUUGUUCCAAAUUUCAUAUAAAGUUUUUACUUCCUUAUUCUAUUUUGUAACGUCCAUUUGUCUAUGUAAUUUUGUUUUCAUAUUGUGUUACUGGUUUCAUUGUAACUAGUUACAUAUAAUUGAUUGCGAAUCCAUUGUAACUGGUUUCAUUUGAAUUA